rnacentral:rRNA from 1 species
AGCACCACAACGGGUGGAGCCUGCGGUUUAAUUGGACUCAACGCCGGGCAGCUCACCGGAUAAGACAGCUGGAUGAUAGCCGGGCUGAAGACUUUGCCGGAUUAGCUGAGAGGUGGUGCAUGGCCGUCGUCAGUUCGUACUGUGAAGCAUCCUGUUAAGUCAGGCAACGAGCGAGACCCACGCCCACAGUUGCCAGCGUACUCUCUGGAGUGACGGGUACACUGUGGGGACCGCCGCUGCUAAAGCGGAGGAAGGAAUGGGCAACGGUAGGUCAGUAUGCCCCGAAUAUCCCGGGCUACACGCGAGCUACAAUGGUUGGUACAAUGGGUAUCUACCCCGAAAGGGGACGGGAAUCUCCUAAAACCAAUCUUAGUUCGGAUUGAGGGCUGCAACUCGCCCUCAUGAAGCUGGAAUCCGUAGUAAUCGCGUUUCAACAGAACGCGGUGAAUACGUCCCUGCUCCUU